AAAGGUUGCCAGCGACCCGUCUUGAAACACGGACCAAGGAGUGGACCUACCGCGCGAGUGUUUGGGCGUCAACCCCAUACGCGCAAUGAAAGUGAACGCAGGUGGGAACCUUCGGGCGCACCAUCGACCGAUCCUGAUGUCUUCGGAUGGAUUUGAGUAAGAGCACGGCGGGUUCGACCCGAAAGACGGUGAACUAUACGUGAAUAGGGUGAAGCCAGAGGAAACUCUGGUGGAGGCUCGCAGCGGUUCUGACGUGCAAAUCGAUCGUCAAAUUUGCGUAUAGGGGCGAAAGGUACGUGCAACCGCGAUUUCAUCCGCGAACUCUUGGGCAGUCGCGCUAACUUUUAAACAGACUAAUCGAACCGUCUAGUAGCUGGUUCCUGUCGAAGUUUCCCUCAGGAUAGCAGCAACGAAUCAGCAGUCUCAUGAGGUAGAGCAACGAUUAGAGGCAUGGGGGUUGAAACAACCUUCACCUAUUCUCGAACUCCGAAUAUGUGAGAAGUCCUUGUUACUUGAUGAA
rnacentral:rRNA from 1 species